rnacentral:rRNA from 1 species
AGAGUUUGAUCCUGGCUCAGGAUGAACGCUAGCGGCAGGCCUAACACAUGCAAGUCGAGGGGCAUCACGAGGUAGCAAUACUUUGGUGGCGACCGGCGCACGGGUGCGUAACGCGUAUGUAACCUACCUAUAACAGGGGCAUAACACUGAGAAAUUGGUACUAAUUCCCCAUAACAUUCGGAGAGGCAUCUCUCCGGGUUGAAAACUCCGGUGGUUAUAGAUGGACAUGCGUUGUAUUAGCUAGUUGGUGAGGUAACGGCUCACCAAGGCAACGAUACAUAGGGGGACUGAGAGGUUAACCCCCCACAUUGGUACUGAGACACGGACCAAACUCCUACGGGAGGCAGCAGUGAGGAAUAUUGGUCAAUGGACGCAAGUCUGAACCAGCCAUGCCGCGUGCAGGAUGACGGCUCUAUGAGUUGUAAACUGCUUUUGUACGAGGGUAAACGCAGAUACGUGUAUCUGUCUGAAAGUAUCGUACGAAUAAGGAUCGGCUAACUCCGUGCCAGCAGCCGCGGUAAUACGGAGGAUUCAAGCGUUAUCCGGAUUUAUUGGGUUUAAAGGGUGCGUAGGCGGUUUGAUAAGUUAGAGGUGAAAUUUCGGGGCUCAACCCUGAACGUGCCUCUAAUACUGUUGAGCUAGAGAGUAGUUGCGGUAGGCGGAAUGUAUGGUGUAGCGGUGAAAUGCUUAGAGAUCAUACAGAACACCGAUUGCGAAGGCAGCUUACCAAACUAUAUCUGACGUUGAGGCACGAAAGCGUGGGGAGCAAACAGGAUUAGAUACCCUGGUAGUCCACGCAGUAAACGAUGAUAACUCGUUGUCGGCGAUACACAGUCGGUGACUAAGCGAAAGCGAUAAGUUAUCCACCUGGGGAGUACGUUCGCAAGAAUGAAACUCAAAGGAAUUGACGGGGGCCCGCACAAGCGGAGGAACAUGUG